AACGCAACUUGCGCCCGUGGUCCUUCGGGGCUAGGGCAUGUCUGCCUCAGCGUCGGCUUCACCCCUCGUGAUGGACGGAGUGCUGGUUCUUACCCCUCCGUCUGCACGGACCUGGCUCUCCCACUACUGUUAUCAACUAGUGCCAGUAGUGGGUGGGCUGAAGCGCAGAGGCUCGAGCACGGACCCCGUUCGCAGGGCGUGGACUUGGUAGGUAGGACCCUCCUACAACGCCAUCCGUCGACGCCCGAGGGGAGCGUGCUGGAGGCCCAGCAGGAAUUGGAAUGGGGGAUGAUGCUAUGGGUGUUUGAUGGAGGAACGGAUGACGACGACUCUGUUGUUGUCAUUCCACCCACCAUCAGACCUGACACACUCCCCAACCAACUCACCACAACACUUCGACCUGAGCUCAGGCAAGAGCACCCGCUGAACUUAA
rnacentral:misc_RNA from 1 species